rnacentral:lncRNA from 10 species
UUCCAGUGCGCCUGUAACACCAGGACGGACCAACGAGAAAUGGUUAAUUGCAACACAGUCCGGAAAAAGCAUGCCUCGAAAGGCAAAGGGCAAAAGGGAACGGCCUAAGUCGAGGUGGUGUGCUGGUGAAUGUCUUAACAACCAGACUUUUCAGGGAGGAAAGCCCUGAUUUGUAGCGUUUGCUGAUUCUCCGCAAAAGGACUGAACUUCUAGCUGGUUGAAUCACCUCUGUGGCCAGGUUAACACCGUAUGCUGAUGGGCUUGAGCUAUUUGAACAAGUCUCUGUGACGGGGACGGAAUGACCCUGGUUGGUUUAGGCACGCGAGACGUCUGUAAAAUCUGACUACAAGGCUGCUAGGCCAACGGGAAAGAUGCUGAGGGUUCAACGCCAUGCCCUCAACAACAUUCCUCCAGCUGCCGCUUCAUAGUAUGAGGUGAGUCUAGGGGAACGUGAGCUCAGUUUUUGGGGGAGAGGUGGAUAUGUGUUCCAGGAAAACUCUCCGUGUUUUUCCUCUGCUCUUACAUCACCACCACAACAAUCAUCAUCACAGAAGAAUUCUGGGACCAAAUGUGAGGGGGUUCCUCCCUACCACCAAGCAGCGGACACCAGCUGGGUAUCCUCCUAUUCAAUUCCAACACUGUCUACCUGAGGAAGACACACCGGCACCAGUCAUAUGUCUUGGACUCCAGAACUUCUGACCAACCACUUUCAAGUUGGGGUUGCCAUGAUCCCAUCUUUGGGUUUGAAUAACUUGCUGGAGCAGCUCACAGAACUCAUGGAAACAUGUUUCCUGGUUUAUUAUAAAGGAUGUUGCAAAGGCUACAAGGAAGAGAUGUGUAGGGCAAAGUAUGGGAGGAGGGGCACAAAGCUUCCAUGCCCUCCAGAACCUCCACGAACGUGGUCAGCUAUCUAGAAGCUCUCCAAACCCAGUUCUAUUGGCCUUUAUGGGAACUUUAUGUUAUCAGCAUUCCUUCCUCCAAGGGAUGGGGCAGGAGCUCUCAGGAGGUAUUUAAGACCCACAAUCAGCAAGAUUAGAGUUCUGCCUUGGGGCAGGUGAAAGGAGAGCAGGAGAGGCCAGAGAGAUUCUGUUUCCUGAGGCCUGCCCCUGAGGCCUAACACAACUGGCAUUAUAACAAAAGACUUAACAAGGCUAUGGGAGUCAGGGACCGUGCUUGAAAAUGUGUGUAUGUAUGUGUGUGUAUACCUCGUAACACCACAAUACGCAAGUGACUUACAGCAGUCAGAAAUUAGGGGCUGAAAAUCAGAAUUGCAGUCAUUUGCAAAGAAUAAGAGAAGAAAUCUAUGAGUAGAUGCAAUCGGAGAAGGAAAGAGUAUACUACAGAAAGCAAAGGAUCAAACUUGGGAAUUAUCAUAUUGGGUUAGAACUGUGUACAGGGAGGAGUCAAAGAGUGUGUAUGCAUCUAAAUAUACACAUAAAUGCAUAGAUACACAGAAUUUUUAAAUUUCUGAUGCAGUUCUCUGCAAAUCAGGAGACCUGAGUUCAAAACUUUGCUGACACACCAUGUAACUUUGGACAAGUUACUUAACGUUGGGAGACCAAUUUAAUAUACCCACGUGGGUUAGACAGGUAACUGAGUAAAGCUGGCAACCUGAAGAGAAAAGCAAACACUGAGAAGGCCACUAGCUCUCGCCUGCUGUUUCCAGGACAGCAAACAGCAAAGAGGUGGCACAGUAUAGCAGUUAUAACCAUGAACUCUUUUGUGUGGAUGUUAAGUUUUCAUUUCCCUAGGGUAAAUACCUAGGAGAGGGAUUGCCGGGUUGUAUAGUAAACAUAUGUUUAUUUACAAGAAAUGGCCAAACUGUUGUCUAGAGUGUCUGUACCAUUUUGUACACCCACCAGCAAUGUAUGAAUGUUCUAGUUAUUCCAUAUCCUCACCAGCACUUGGUAUUGUCAUUUUUUGUUUUUAAUUUUAGCCAUUCUAACUGGUGUGGUUUUGAUUUACAUUUCCCCAACAGCUAAUGAUGAUCUUUUCACAUGCCUAUUUGCCACCCAUCUUUCUCUGAAGAAUUGCUUCUUUUCCCCAUUGUUUUGUUUUCUUAUUGUUGUAGUGAAAAUCUUUAUAUAUUCUGAACACAAAUCCUUUGUUGGUAUGUUUUGCAAGUACAGUAUUUUUCCCCAGUAUGUAGCUUGUCUUUCCCUUCUAUUAAGUGUCUUUUGCAGAGCAAAAUUUUUAAAUUUAAGAUUUUUUUUUUUUUUUUUUUGAGAUGGAGUCUCUCUCUGUCACCCAGGCCGGAGUGCAGUGGUGAUCUCGGCUCACUGCAACCUCUGCCUCCCAGAGUCAAGUGAUUCUCUUAUCUCAGCCUCCCAAGUAGCUGGGAUUACAGGCGCACGCCACCAAGCCCGACUAAUUUUUGUAUUUUUAGUAGAGAGGGGGUUUCACCUUGCAGGCCAGGCUGGUCUCAAACUCCUGACCUCGUGAUCUGCCCGUCUCGGCCUCCCAAAGUGCUG